ACGGGAGGCAGCAGUGGGGAAUAUUGCACAAUGGGGGAAACCCUGAUGCAGCGACGCCGCGUGAGUGAAGAAGUAUUUCGGUAUGUAAAGCUCUAUCAGCAGGGAAGAUGAUGACGGUACCUGACUAAGAAGCCCCGGCUAACUACGUGCCAGCAGCCGCGGUAAUACGUAGGGGGCAAGCGUUAUCCGGAUUUACUGGGUGUAAAGGGAGCGUAGGCGGCCGCGCAAGUCAGGUGUGAAAACCCGGGGCUUAACUCCGGGACUGCACUUGAAACUGUGAGGCUGGAGUACGGGAGAGGCAAGUGGAAUUCCUAGUGUAGCGGUGAAAUGCGUAGAUAUUAGGAAGAACACCAGUGGCGAAGGCGACUUGCUGGACCGCAACUGACGCUGAGGCUCGAAAGCGUGGGGAGCAAACAGGAUUAGAUACCCUGGUA
rnacentral:rRNA from 2 species